rnacentral:rRNA from 1 species
GAUGAACGCUGGCGGCGUGCCUAAUACAUGCAAGUCGAGCGAACGGACGAGAAGCUUGCUUCUCUGAUGUUAGCGGCGGACGGGGGAGUAAAACGUGGAUAACCUACCUAUAAGACUGGGAUAACUUCGGGAAACCGGAGCUAAUACCGGAUAAUAUUUUGAACCGCAUGGUUCAAAAGUGAAAGACGGUCUUGCUGUCACUGAUAGAUGGAUCCGCGCUGCAUUAGCUAGUUGGUAAGGUAACGGCUUACCAAGGCAACGAUGCAUAGCCGACCUGAGAGGGUGAUCGGCCACACUGGAACUGAGACACGGUCCAGACUCCUACGGGAGGCAGCAGUAGGGAAUCUUCCGCAAUGGGCGAAAGCCUGACGGAGCAACGCCGCGUGAGUGAUGAAGGUCUUCGGAUCGUAAAACUCUGUUAUUAGGGAAGAACAUAUGUGUAAGUAACUGUGCACAUCUUGACGGUACCUAAUCAGAAAGCCGCGGCUAACUACGUG